CACUUUCACAAAAAGGAACAAGUCUAAAGACAAAUAAUCCCCGCCAAAGCUAUGAGGAAGAGUGGCAGAGAGUUCCUUACAUGGUCAACAGCAGAGCUGUCUGAAUACAACUGUCCCAAGCUUUUUCUAGGGUGCAGCCAACGUGACACUGUUACAGCCAUUUUGAAUUAAGAGAGCAAGUCCACUGGGGAGUUCCGAUGAAACUUUUGCUGUCCUGACAAAGAAGGAAAGCUGUGGCCAGCACCACCACUUUGCACUUCCCUCCUAGAAAAUCUGCAGUCAGACCAGUCAUUUUGCAACCCUGAGACAAUAAGCCCAACGAUAAAGGCUGAAAGACUACAAAAAAUAGAGCAGAAAGCACAAAAGAAACUGGGUCUCUGACAGUAUUGCCAAUCUGUGUCAUGUGAGAAAAAGAAAACCUACUUG
rnacentral:lncRNA from 1 species